CAUACUUGUGUAUGAGGGAGGAUAGGUAUGUUGGAGCAGCAUUAUGUAGGGAUUUGUAAGCAAGCGCCAGAAUUUUGAAUUGGGCCCUAUAUCUAACUGGAAGCCAAUGCAGGGACUGACAGAGCGUGGAGGCGUGGGAGGUGCGACCGGACAGGAAAAUAAGCCUUGCAGCCGUAUUCAUUAUAGAUUGCAGCGGUGCAAGCUGGGAACAUGUAAGACCGGUGAGAAGGGGAUUGCAAUAGUCAAGGCGAGAGAGAACAACAGCAUGAACCAGUACCUUAGCCGCGUCCGGCGUUAGAUAUGGGCGGAUGCGCGCUAUGUUCUUGAGUUGGAAGCGACAGGAUUUGGCUAUCGAUUGAACAUGGGGAGUAAAAGAGAG